GGCAGUGGUGACAGGUCUCAAAGGUGCUGCUGCCUCUUCCAAACUAGCCUGCCUGUCUUGGGUGGUCCUGGUCCGAGGGAUGCCCCUUAGGGUUAUUGAGAAGGAUAUCAGAGGUCAUUUAUCUCAGUCUCCCACCCAGAGUGUGGAGUCCUGAACAGGUGCUUACAUACCGCUGUGGUGUUGAAACAACCAUCCUCCCCACAAGACAGCCUGGCCCAGCCCCAACCAGCUCCAUGAGAAGGCUCAUCGUGAUAUGCAGGGCAACUCUGGGCCUCUGUAAUCUUCACAGCCUCUCUGAAUUUCCAUUCUUGGACCAACACCAGCUGCUGAGUCAGAGCAUCAAAAUAGUCACUCAACUGAAGCUUCGGUUUUAUAGGACAACUUACAGUUUUGCUCCCUGAUGUGUUGGUUGAACUCACCCUUUUGGGGAAGCAGACAAGGCAUGACAUACACCGUGCGGAUGAAGAAAGCCCAGCUGAGUGCGGGUUAGUGGCUCAUCCAGCUUGAGAGCAGGUGGCUCCGUGGCGCAAUGGAUAGUGCAUUGGACUUCCACAAAUAUUUAUGAAGUGCCUACUAGAUAUCAGGCCUGGUCUUGGAGUCAGUGGUAAAGCAACGAAUAAGAAAGAUGAGAUGGCUGCCCUCUUGGAGCUUACAUUCCACUGAUAAGUGGGAGAUUUGACCCAGGAGAGGAAAAUCUUGUGAGCCAUACUGAAGAGUUUGGAUUUGAUCCGGUUGUUGAAUGAAAACCAAAUAUUGCCUUUAGGCCAGAGAAUGGUCUGAGCAGAUUUGUGUUUCAGAGAAACCACACUGGAAAACAAUACAGAGGAUGAGUGGACCUCUCAAGGAUGAGACUGGUGGCAGGAAGUUCCGACCGGAGGCUCCGGGGAUAUGCUGGAGAUGGGGGUGAUGGAGCUCCAGACCAAGCAGGGCUGAUGAGAAGAGAAGGAAAGACAGCCCCAUAGCUCACCCAGGACCGGGAUAGCCAGUGACACUGGCACCCUGGGCCGUAUGACAAAGCCGCACCUCUUCCAACCGAUAUUUUAAAAAUGGACACCUCCCAGCAUAAUACCCUCCAGUUCCAUCCACAUCGUUAUGCUGAGCAAAAGAAGUCAAACAGAGAAACACAUGUAUCAUAUGACCUCACUGAUAUGAGGAAAUCUUCAUCUCAGGAAACAAACUGAGGGUUGCUG